rnacentral:rRNA from 1 species
GGUGAUCUGCCCUGCACUUCGGGAUAAGCCUGGGAAACUGGGUCUAAUACCGGAUAUGACCUCCUAUCGCAUGGUGGGUGGUGGAAAGAUUUAUCGGUGCAGGAUGGGCCCGCGGCCUAUCAGCUUGUUGGUGGGGUAAUGGCCUACCAAGGCGACGACGGGUAGCCGACCUGAGAGGGUGACCGGCCACACUGGGACUGAGACACGGCCCAGACUCCUACGGGAGGCAGCAGUGGGGAAUAUUGCACAAUGGGCGAAAGCCUGAUGCAGCGACGCCGCGUGAGGGAUGACGGCCUUCGGGUUGUAAACCUCUUUCAGCAGGGACGAAGCGCAAGUGACGGUACCUGCAGAAGAAGCACCGGCUAACUACGUGCCAGCAGCCGCGGUAAUACGUAGGGUGCAAGCGUUGUCCGGAAUUACUGGGCGUAAAGAGUUCGUAGGCGGUUUGUCGCGUCGUUUGUGAAAACCAGCAGCUCAACUGCUGGCUUGCAGGCGAUACGGGCAGACUUGAGUACUGCAGGGGAGACUGGAAUUCCUGGUGUAGCGGUGAAAUGCGCAGAUAUCAGGAGGAACACCGGUGGCGAAGGCGGGUCUCUGGGCAGUAACUGACGCUGAGGAACGAAAGCGUGGGUAGCGAACAGGAUUAGAUACCCUGGUAGUCCACGCCGUAAACGGUGGGCGCUAGGUGUGGGUUCCUUCCACGGAAUCCGUGCCGUAGCUAACGCAUUAAGCGC